rnacentral:rRNA from 1 species
CAAUAGCGUAUAUUAAAGUUGUUGCAGUUAAAAAGCUCGUAGUUGGAUUUGUGGUUUGUGGUGUGCCCCGGGCACUUGUUGUCUGAGUGGCUCGCCGCUGCCAUCCUUGGGGGGAACCUGUGUGGCAUUAGGUUGUCGUGCAGGGGAUGCCCAUCAUUUACUGUGAAAAAAUUAGAGUGUUCAAAGCAGGCUUAUGCCGUUGAAUAUAUUAGCAUGGAAUAAUGAGAUAGGACUUUUUCGCUAUUUUGUUGGUUUGCGCGAAGAGGUAAUGAUUAAUAGGGACAGUUGGGGGUAUUCGUAUUCCAUUGUCAGAGGUGAAAUUCUUGGAUUUUUGGAAGACGAACUACUGCGAAAGCAUUUACCAAGGAUGUUUUCAUUAA